GUUAAGGACAGUUUGGUUAGAUAUACUUACAAAUACAGUAUCGUCGAAGAUGCAUACGGUUGAAAAUACAAUAAUUAUAACUAUAUAUAUUAUGUAUUAGAAAACACUUUAAUUAUAAAUAAUUUGUUUGAUUAUGUAUAUAUAUAGGUGAGAUUAGCUCCAAUGUAUAUAUAUAUAUAUAUAUAUAUAUAUAUAUAUAUAAAAUAGUUAGGAUGGUAAGCUUAUCUUUUGGUUAAAAUUGUUAUUUCCAACUGCUGCAGUUGGAAUUACAGUAAAUUUCAGUAUAGUUUCAAAUGUUGUAGUUGGUCCUCCUCCUACGGUUUCUGUUGUAGCAGUUGAAAUUAAGUACAUCAAAAUUAAACACCGAAUUCACAUUUGCAUGCACUACAUACAACUAAACAGCUCCUUUAUAGUCAAACUGUGUUUUUUAGUAUGCUCUCGAACU
rnacentral:lncRNA from 1 species